rnacentral:rRNA from 1 species
UACGUAGGGGGCAAGCGUUGUCCGGAUUUAUUGGGCGUAAAGAGCGUGUAGGCGGCCAGGGAGGUCCGUUGUGAAAACUCGAGGCUCAACCUCGAGACGCCGAUGGAAACCCCCUGGCUAGAGUCCGGAAGAGGAGAAUGGAAUUCCUGGUGUAGCGGUGAAAUGCGCAGAUAUCAGGAAGAACACCCGUGGCUAAGGCGGUUCUCUAGUACGGUACUGACGCUGAGACGCGAAAGCGUGGGGA